rnacentral:rRNA from 1 species
CAGCCGCCGCGGUAAGACAGAGGAUGCAAGCGUUAUCCGGAAUGAUUGGGCGUAAAGCGUCUGUAGGUGGCUUUUCAAGUCCGCCGUCAAAUCCCAGGGCUCAACCCUGGACAGGCGGUGGAAACUACCAAGCUAGAGUACGGUAGGGGCAGAGGGAAUUUCCGGUGGAGUGGUGAAGUGCGUUGAGAUCGGAAAGAACACCAACGGCGAAAGCACUCUGCUGGGCCGACACUGACACUGAGAGACGAAAGCUAGGGGAGCAAAUGGGAUUAGAUACCCGUGUAGUCCCUGUCUCUUAUAA